AUGGAUACAGCGAGGGACUCGAGCGGGGAGAGUAAGCCGGGGUGCCAGUUUGCGCCCAGGUCCGGACUCCGACAGUGGCUGCCAGGGUUGCCCAUCGCUCUGUGUUUGCUGUUGUCCAUGAGCUCCAUCGCGGUGUGUCUUUUGAUGAGCGUGAAGACGUUCCAGCUGGAGAGCCGGCUGCAGACGGAGAUGGACAAAAUCUCAAUCCUCCAGCCGUCGCACAGCGCGUUUCUGAAGGAGGAUGGCACCCUGAUUCCCGAGCUGAGCACCCCGAUUGAAAAGCUCGUUGAAGAGAAACUAACGGUGAUCCCCAAACUCCGAUCAGCCAGGGACGUCGCUCAGGAAUGCUCCUGUCCCCCAGUGAGAAGCAGCAGAGAGCUCCGCUGUGAGGCAUAGAUCAGUCUGAGGAGCACGGGGGGACGAGGGGCAGACGCUGGAGUCUUCUGCAACACAAAGUCAUUCCCGCCAUGCAUCAGAGACUCCUGCUGUCUUCAGUAAAUGUGUAUGAGUGCGAAUGGCUUACUGGCUGAAACCCUACCCUACUGAGAAGCAAUGAGAACAUUUAAGAAAAGAAGACGGACACACUUGUUGUGGUGAGAGUGCGUCGAGGAAAAUAAACAAAAUGGUAAAUGCUCAAUUACUUAAACGGCUACUGCUCCUUCACCACCUCAUUACCCACUUUAUCGCAUUACUUUUUAUUGUGAAAGAAAAUACAUAAAAAGUGCAAUAAUUAAUGAAAGUACUGAAAAUAAAAACGAGGUUGAAUGCUGCAAUUGCUUUCAUGGAAAUUGCUCCAUUGUGGCUUCAUUCCAAAACGCAUCCCUUUAUUUCUGCCACACAGGGCUCAGAGCUCCGUCACGGCAGGGCUGGGUGAGGCCUGUUCACUGCUGAGUACCGUGGCAUGCUGCUGUCCCUGUGGUUCGGCCGUUUGGGUGUCAGGUUGUCUCUGACCCUGCUCUGUUUAGGACCCCCCCCCCCCCCCCCCCCCCCCCUGGGUGGCCCCGUGUCAGCCCAGCGUAGGGCCCGCACCCCAGAGCCUCACAGUCAGACAGCCAUUAUGUCUAACCGGCUCCCUGUACCUCCGAGACACAAAGCAGACACGCGUGUACACAUGGACACACGCACGCUGACACACUGGGACACACGCACACACACUGGGACACACACACUCUGAGAAACACGCACACACUGGGACAGACACACACUCUGAAAAACGCACACACGCUGAGGCACGCACACUGAGAAAAAUACACACACACACACACACACACACACACACACACACACACACACACACACACACACACACACACACACACACACACACACACGGACACACACACACAGUGAAACACACACACACACACACACAUGUGCUCUUGUUAUAAGCAGACACCGGUUGUGCGCGGUUGUUAUUGCUGGUGACCCCCAGAUGUCAGUGGCCGUAAGACUGGAAGGACGGCCUCCCCUUGAGGUUUAUACACGGGCCUGCUCAGACCCA
rnacentral:lncRNA from 1 species